rnacentral:rRNA from 1 species
GGCCUUGCGGCGUGCUAUACAUGCAGUCGAGCGGACAGAAGGGAGCUUGCUCCCGGAUGUUAGCGGCGGACGGGUGAGUAACACGUGGGUAACCUGCCUGUAAGACUGGGAUAACUCCGGGAAACCGGAGCUAAUACCGGAUAGUUCCUUGAACCGCAUGGUUCAAGGAUGAAAGACGGUUUCGGCUGUCACUUACAGAUGGACCCGCGGCGCAUUAGCUAGUUGGUGAGGUAACGGCUCACCAAGGCGACGAUGCGUAGCCGACCUGAGAGGGUGAUCGGCCACACUGGGACUGAGACACGGCCCAGACUCCUACGGGAGGCAGCAGUAGGGAAUCUUCCGCAAUGGACGAAAGUCUGACGGAGCAACGCCGCGUGAGUGAUGAAGGUUUUCGGAUCGUAAAGCUCUGUUGUUAGGGAAGAACAAGUGCAAGAGUAACUGCUUGCACCUUGACGGUACCUAACCAGAAAGCCACGGCUAACUACGUGCCAGCAGCCGCGGUAAUACGUAGGUGGCAAGCGUUGUCCGGAAUUAUUGGGCGUAAAGGGCUCGCAGGCGGUUUCUUAAGUCUGAUGUGAAAGCCCCCGGCUCAACCGGGGAGGGUCAUUGGAAACUGGGAAACUUGAGUGCAGAAGAGGAGAGUGGAAUUCCACGUGUAGCGGUGAAAUGCGUAGAGAUGUGGAGGAACACCAGUGGCGAAGGCGACUCUCUGGUCUGUAACUGACGCUGAGGAGCGAAAGCGUGGGGAGCGAACAGGAUUAGAUACCCUGGUAGUCCACGCCGUAAACGAUGAGUGCUAAGUGUUAGGGGGUUUCCGCCCCUUAGUGCUGCAGCUAACGCAUUAAGCACUCCGCCUGGGGAGUACGGUCGCAAGACUGAAACUCAAAGGAAUUGACGGGGGCCCGCACAAGCGGUGAGCAUGUGGUUUAAUUCGAAGCAACGCGAGGAACCUUACCAGGUCUUGACAUCCUCUGACAACCCUAGAGAUAGGGCUUCCCUUUCGGGAC